UUAAUAAUACAGAAUACAAAAAUAUCUGCUCCUUUGGCCCGUCUUCUCCUCCUCCAUUGUUCCUCCUCUGCUGCUCUCCAUGCCCCUAGGCGGCGCUCCCAUUCAUAGCCGGCAACCCGUCUUCUCCUCCGCUGCUCUCCAUGACCUAGACGGCGCUCCCAUUCAUGGCCGGUGAGCAGAAGCUUCAGCCUCCUUCGCGCCCCAAGAUGGUUGAUGCAUCAUAUGAGGAGGUGUAGUACGCAUGAUGGUUUCAAGAAAGGAGGCCCCGAUUGGUACUUGAGGCCGUCAAGUUGAGCAAUUACGUUGGACUGGUGGCACCUUAACUUACAAUCGAAGCCCUACUCGAGUCAGUCUCCCGUUAUUCCUGCCCCACUCCACUGGUAAAUCGCCUUGCAUUGUUAAAUCCCUGCUCCUCCAUCCGUUUAAUUCAUCACUGAACCCCUAAUAAGUCGGCUUAAUCCAUCACAUCUCAUCAACAACAAAAGGCCUUUUUCUAUAUCUAUCUUCAUCACUUCUCUACAUCAGAUUAUACAUUUGGGCGAGUGGGUGAGAACCAGCUAGAAUGUGAUCUCGCCUAAAGUGGCACCAUGCAGCAAGUUUCUGUUAAACUACAUCCACAUCAACUGCCACUGCCAACCUGCCAAUUUACAUUAACUGUUUACACGGGAAGCUUUACACAUGUCUUCCCGUGCGACCAUUUGUUAGACAACAAAAAUAGUUGACGAUUCCUAUGGAAUGAAUUUCGAUGUUGUAUGUUAUUUCUUCCGAGUAAACGCUAAUUGUUAGAUUAUCGCAUGGUAGUGGUAUAUAUAUCUAUCUUUGGCAGAUCUGCAGUAAGAUCAAAUUGUUGCCCAUGCAAAAAUUAAGCUAGAUGUACGGCGUACUUGAGUUAUAUAGGUUCUAUUUACAGCACAUACAUGUACCGUGUUUGAAAAGGGAUCCAAAUCUAUGUUUUAUUAUUAUUAAACACCCAUAUGAAAUUUCCCUGCAAAUGUAACCAUGGAAUCCAUAUUUCCUAGGUUCAUUCCUGAUAAUAUGAUAUUUUUUUUGGAGUUCCAGUGUCUAGAUUUUAGAGAUGCUAACUUAUACAAAAUAUGUAUCAGUGUGCCCUAUUAGUGAUUUGCAUAUUUAGAGCGGGGAGGUAUAUAUGUUGAUAAUGAUCCGAAUAUUGUCAGCUAAAUAUGUUUUUACGAAACUAACAGAUUUAUGUGUUCCAUUGUGUGCAGCAGAAUGUCUAGUGUACAUGCGUGACACUAUAUCUACUUUUCCAAAUAGUAAUCUAGACUAGGAACUGUAAAAACAAUAUGUGAGAAAACUUAAUCACUACCAUACUAUUUUUAAGUAGGUUGCAAAUAGGAUAUGUAGUCCUUAUAUGAUUUUAACUACCUCCAAUUCGCGUCAUUGAUCACAUUGUAACUAUUCCUGCUACUGCAGGUUUGACUUGAAUUUUGGCUUCUGUACGUAUAGUGUUGGUUCGCUUGUCCAUAGCUUUCUACCUCCCGGAAUCCAUCUUCCUAUUGCCACAUAAUUACAUCAUUUGUUUUUGGGAAAUCAAUGUAUCGAUACAUUGUUUCCCUCUUCAGUGCACAUGCUCUUAUAUUUGUUUUUGGACUGAUUCUUCGAUUUAUUUCAUGGUAUGCUUGGAUAACUAGAUUAUCUAAUUUGAAUUUCUCCAGUCUUUUGUAUGUUCACUUGCAUAGACGGCUUAAUCAGUUAAUCUAGAACCUAAACUGAAGAUUAAAUAUAGCACAUAUACUUGGUCAUUUCUCCUAAGAAGAUUAAUCCACCUUGACUUUAACUUGACUUCCAAAGAAGUUCUGAAUGAUCAAGCAUUUUUUGGUUUUUUUAUUAAACUAAAAUAAUGUUGCACUCUGACAAUAAUAUUCAGAUUUUCUAAGUUAACAGAAAUCUUUCAAUUUUGUUAGGAUUAAUCAUGUCUAGACGAACUGAGAGAGUCAGUUAGUUUGUUAGCUGCAUGCAUGGAGUAGUUAUCUAGUUGCCAGCUGCAUGCACGUACUAGUCUUUGGACCCUAGAGAGAUUCUAGGAGAAGAUAAGAUCAUGGGUUAGUGCAUGUAGUUAGUUGGUUAGUGGAGCAACUAGUCUGGAGACGUGAUGGCCGAGUGUGAUGGCCGGCGUGAGUGCGUUGGUCUUGGCUGAGUGCCAAACUUUGUAUAAAUAGUCAUCUCAUUCAGUAAUGGAAAAAGGCCGUGAGGGCUGGAGAAAAAGAUGUAGCAUACGUGUGUCUCACCGGGAGGAAGAGGCAAAGCUAGUUUCCUCCGGUGAGGUAUGCGUGCGUGUGUGUGUUGAGUCUUCUUUCUCUUGUGUGUGUUCUUGAGAGAAGAAGAGAGAAACACAAGUGAGAGUUGUGAGAGGAGUGGAAGAAGAAGAAGCGGCACGACGAGGAGGCGGCGUCAACCAUUGGUAUCAUGAGCUUGGUUGUCUUGGGGCGUCAUUGCUCUUGCCGGCCGGAGGUGUGCCGACGGUGGCGGCGUCCGUCGGCGGCGCGCGAUGAAGUUCCGGGUCUCGUGUCGGCCUAUGGAGGUGCGCGACACCUCGGCGAGCGCGGCGGCGCUGCACGGUGGCAUGGAGGCUGUGGAGCUCCUGCGUGGCGGCGCGGUGGACUCCAUGUGAUGCGGAGGUCGACGAUGCGAGGUGGAGGUCAUCGGCGGCGUGGUUCCGCUGGUGGCCCGUUGCGGUGUGAUACCGCUAGAUUCAGCCGAUGUGAUGAUCAGCGUCGAGGUGUCGUGCACGUCAAGAGGUGGUCACUGCGUGCAGCAAGACAGCGUGGUGAUCGGUGUCGCGAAGGCGUCGUCCACGUCAAGAGGAGGCCACGGCGUGAUGCUGCGGCGACAAGGAGACUGUGGUGCGAUGCCGCGAGGAGGAGGCGGCGGUGUGAUGCCGCCACAAGAAGGAGACGGUGCGAUGCCGCUUGGUGCGGCGGCGGCGCGAUGCCGUCCGGCGCUAGCAGUGGCAGUGUGAUGCUACCACGAGAAGACGACGGUGAGAUGCCGUUCCAAGAAGACGGCAGUGAGAUGCUGCUGACAAGAUGUACGGCGGUGUGAAGCCGUCAUGAGGAUCAGCAUGAAGCUGGUCGACGGUGGUCUACGUGGUGGUGUGAUGCCUUCGGCGAGAUGGAUCGGCCGCGAUGACGGGGCGAUGGUGCUGCGAAGGCAAAGUUCAUGGCAAGAGGUUGCAGGUGAUCUGCAUCAAGAUUAGAGGAGUUGACAUGACAAGAUUAGGGAGGUGAAUGUUAGGAUUAAUCAUGUCUAGUCGAACUGAGAGAGUCAGUUAGUUUGUUAGCUGCAUGCGUGGAGUAGUUAUCUAGUUGUCAGCUGCAUGCACGUACUAGUCUUUGGACCCUAGAGAGAUUCUAGGAGAAGAUAAGAUCAUGGGUUAGUUCAUGUAGUUAGUUGGUUAGUGGAGCAACUAGUCUCGAGACGUGAUGGCCGAGUGUGAUGGCCGGCGUGAGUGCGUGGGUCUUGGCUGAGUGCCAAACUUUGUAUAAAUAGUCAUCUCAUUCAGUAAUGGAAAAAGGCCGUGAAGACUGGAGAAAAAGAUGUAGCAUACGUGUGUAUCACCGGGAGGAAGAGGCAAAGCUAGGUUCCUCUGGUGAGGUAUGCGUGCGUGUGUGUGUUGAGUCUUCUUUCUCUUGUGUGUGUUCUUGAGAGAAGAAGAGAGAAACACAAGUGAGAGUUGUGAGAGGAGAGGAAGAAGAAGAAGCGGCACCACGAGGAGGCGGCGUCAACAAAUUUCGUACCACUUUUUUUAAUCGUGCAUUUGAAUGAUGGCGAUAUUAUCUAUUCUCCGAAUUCCGCUUGCAUGUUUCCAGUUGAAACAGUAACUGAAAUUGAUAAGUAUGCAACGAUUUAUGCCCUCCAGCAUGAGUAAAAUGUUGUGGGUUACCAUUUCCGAUAAGUAACCACUGUAUUAUUUUCUAUGUGUAUAAUUGACAUGUAUACAUGUUAUCACUCUGCUUGAACCAUCCAUCUCCACAUUACGCCCGAGACUUCCAUCGCAAUAAUCUAUAUAUAUGCAGGUAGUGUCCAAUAUGUAUACACAAGCUCCUCUCACAGGCCGACUACGUUGAUUGUGACUGAGCGUGUGUGUGUGGCCGUGAUGUAAGCUUUAUCUUGGCCUGAGUAUCAGUUCCCUUUUAUGAUACAAUUUUGGAUGCUAUUUUAUUCUACAUGUUUAGGUUUCUACAGGUCCCAUUGGCGGCUACCUUUUAGUGAUACGGCAGCUGAAUGGCAUGCUCACCAGUAAAAAAAAAAAGGGCAACCUGGUGCAUGUAGCUCCCGCUUGCGCAGGGUCCAGGGAAGGGUCCGACCACUUUGGGUCUAUAGUACGCAGCCUUUCCCUACAUUUCUGUAAGAGGCUGUUUCCAGGACUUGAACCCAUGACCUCAUGGUCACAAGGCAGCAUGCUCACCAGUAGUUCUGUCAAAACGAAAUCGACUGGACUGUAUUUUUUAUGUGUGUUACUAAGUACAAGCUGUGAUUAUUUUCUUUCUAGGGAUGGCAAAUUUCUAGGCAUUAAGCUUUUUGAGACGUUAAGGUCUCUCAUAAUUAAUUAGCCUUUGUAAGGUGUAUACUGACAAUAAGCCCAUUGCAGUAAUUGGUUGGAUAAUUCUUACAUGUUUUAUUCAAAUGUCUGGUUAAAUUAGUGUCGGAUGCCCCUUCAUCGAUUACUUUUUUGGAUAUGAAUUAUUACCAUAAGAAGUAGUCCCUCUGUAAAGAAAUAUAACAGUGUUUAGAUUACUACUUUAGUUAUUUAAACGCUCUUAUAUUUCUUUAUGGAGGGAGUAUAUUGGUUCUUCAGUGUUUCAUUCUUACAGUACACAAAUUAUAUUGUUUUACGUUGGUCAUUUCUCACUCUGCAGUCUGUAUCUUUUGCUUCAUAAUUCAUAUGUACACAAGAUUGAUGCCCAGAAGUUUCAUCCUUCCGUGCUAAAUGUCAUUCUUUUUUGACUUGAUAAACACCAGGUAACAUGGAGUCUUCUCAUUUGUAAUGGCAUAGAUAUAGGAACGAGCAAUUCAGCUUUGCUAUAAGAAAGCGACGGACAAAAGAGAACUGGAUAUUGUUGUUGAGAGCUAGCUCUGGUCACAUGAUCAUCUAUCUAUAUAGUUUUCAACAAAAGAGAACUGGAUAAUUUUUACUAAGGGCUAGCUCUGGCCGCAUGGUCAUCCAUGUAUAUAGUUUUCAACACUAAACGUGUCAUGAUUGGUACAGCAUAAUUAGCAAUCUUAGUUUCUUCUGAUCUCAUAAUUUGAAGAUGAACCGAAGAGGGGAAUGUGUACUAUGUUUGGAAUCUGUCACACUAAAUGUGUAUUUGUGGUAUUGAUGUACAGUUAUUAAGAAAGUUACAUUUUCUA